rnacentral:sRNA from 1 species
AUAUUAAAUAAAUUAUAAUCAAUUGAUAUGUGGUCCAGCAAGGUUGAUUAUGUGAAUCAGAAAAUAAUCUGGUUUACCGUCACGCUCGGAUUUAAAAACAUUGAUAAAAA